rnacentral:rRNA from 1 species
GUAGGUGGCAAGCGUUGUCCGGAAUUAUUGGGCGUAAAGCGCGCGCAGGCGGUUCUUUAAGUCUGAUGUGAAAGCCCACGGCUCAACCGUGGAGGGUCAUUGGAAACUGGAGAACUUGAGUACAGAAGAGGAAAGCGGAAUUCCACGUGUAGCGGUGAAAUGCGUAGAGAUGUGGAGGAACACCAGUGGCGAAGGCGGCUUUCUGGUCUGUAACUGACGCUGAGGCGCGAAAGCGUGGGGAGCAAACAGGAUUAGAUACCCUGGUAGUCCACGCCGUAAACUAUGAGUGCUAAGUGUUAGGGGGGUUUCCGCCCCCCUUAGUGCUGCAGCUAACGCAUUAAGCACUCCGCCUGGGAGUACGGCCGCAAGGCUG